UACGUAGGGUGCAAGCGUUAUCCGGAAUUAUUGGGCGUAAAGAGCUCGUAGGCGGUUUGUCGCGUCUGCUGUGAAAUCUGGGGGGCUCAACCCCCCAGCCUGCAGUGGGUACGGGCAGACUAGAGUGCGGUAGGGGAGAUUGGAAUUCCUGGUGUAGCGGUGGAAUGCGCAGAUAUCAGGAGGAACACCGAUGGCGAAGGCAGAUCUCUGGGCCGUAACUGACGCUGAGGAGCGAAAGCGUGGGGAGCGAACAGG
rnacentral:rRNA from 1 species